AACAAACGCUGGCGGCGUGCCUAACACAUGCAAGUCGUGCGAGAAAGUCCCCUUCGGGGGGCGAGUAAAGCGGCGAAAGGGUGAGUAACACGUGGGUAACCUGCCCCUUGAACCGGGAUAACCCGCCGAAAGGUGGGUUAAUACCGGAUAAGACCACGCGUGCACAAGCACGGGCGGUAAAAGAUGGCCUCUGCUUGCAAGCUAUCAUCGAGGGAUGGGCCCGCGGCCUAUUAGCUAGUUGGUAGGGUAACGGCCUAACAAGGCUAUGAUGGGUAGCCGGCCUGAGAGGGUGUACGGUCACACUGGAACUGAGACACGGUCCAGACUCCUACGGGAGGCAGCAGUGGGGAAUUUUGCGCAAUGGGGGAAACCCUGACGCAGCAACGCCGCGUGAGUGAUGAAGGCCUUCGGGUCGUAAAACUCUGUUGUUAGGGAAGAACACCCGGGAGAGGAUCCCGGAUUGACGGUACCUGACGAGAAAGCCCCGGCUAACUACGUGCCAGCAGCCGCCGUAAGAC
rnacentral:rRNA from 1 species